rnacentral:lncRNA from 1 species
UCAUGCUCGCUAGGCGAAGCCCACGUGUUAUGCAAACAAAAAAAAACAAAAAAAAAUAAUUAAUUAAAUAAAUAAAUAACUAAAUAAAUAAAAUAUAAUAGAAAAAUCAUGGACUUGGACCUCUCUCAUUUGAGCCCACAAAGCCAUGAAAAUCAGGUUAUAAAAGAGGGAGAACAGACAGAAAAAGGAAGAGAAGCAAAACACUCUGAGGUUUCCUUGGAACAAAACACUGGACAAAACCUGGAGAGAAACCUAGACAGAGAGAGUGAAAAUU